AGAAAUCACAGACGACGCUGUUCUAUUACGCUCCUCCGGAAACAAUCGAGACACUUUAUACCAUCCUGAGGCAUCAACAUGGCCGCCGUGACGUCAUUUGGAAAGAGCAUAUGGAGCUCAACAAAGAGAAGCAAAGAUAACAUGACUGCUAUGACGUCAUUCAGAAAGACUCUGUGGAAAUUAACAAUGAGACAGCCUGUUGGAAAAAAGGAGUUGCUGCUUGCCCUACGAAGCUAUAGUUUCGAAUAUCUUGCUAUGAAACAGCACAG